rnacentral:lncRNA from 1 species
UCGCGCCCUGCCAGAAAAAAAAGAAAAGACAACAUUAGACAUACACAAAGGUCUUAACAGAAAACAUACCUGGGAAUCCUCAAUCUGCGUCGCGCCCUGCUAGAAAAAAAGAAAAGACAACAUUAGACAUACACAAAGGUCUUAACAGAAAACAUACCUGGGAAUCCUCAAUCUGCGUCGCGCCCUGCCAGAAAAAAAAAGAAAAGGCGACAUUAGACAUACACAAAGGUCUUAACAGAAAACAUACCUGAAAAUCCUCAAUCUGCGUCGCGCCCUGCAAAAAAAAAAAGGCCACACGACCUAAAGGAAAAAAAAAAAGAACCAUUAGACAUACACAAAGGUCUUAACAGAAAACAUACCUGGGAAUCCUCAAUCUGCGUCGCGCCCUGCUAGAAAAAAAGAAAAGGCGCAACAUUAGACAUACACAAAGGUCUUAACAGAAAACAUACCUGAAUCUCAAUCUGCGUCGCGCCCUGCCAGAAAAAAAAGAAAAGACAACAUUAGACAUACACAAAGGUCUUAACAGAAAACAUACCUGGGAAUCCUCAAUCUGCGUCGCGCCCUGCUAGAAAAAAAGAAAAGGCGAACAUUAGACAUACACAAAGGUCUUAACAGAAAACAUACCUGAAUCCUCAAUCUGCGUCGCGCCCUCUUCCAGAAAAAAAGAAAAGGCGACAAUUAGACAUACACAAAGGUCUUAACAGAAAACAUACCUGGGAAUCCUCAAUCUGCGUCGCGCCCUGCAAAAAAAAAAGGCCACACGACCUAAAGGAAAAAAAAAGAACCAUUAGACAUACACAAAGGUCUUAACAGAAAACAUACCUGAAUUCCUCAAUCUGCGUCGCGCCCUGCUAGAAAAAAAGAAAAGGCGACAUUAGACAUACACAAAGGCCUUAACAGAAAACAUACCUGGAAUCUCAAUCUGCGUCGCGCCCUGCUAGAAAAAAAGAAAAGGACAACAUUAGACAUACACAAAGGUCUUAACAGAAAACAUACCUGGGAAUUCCUUAAUCUGCGUCGCGCCCUGCCAGAAAAAGAAAAGGCGACAUUAGACAUACACAAAAACCUUAACAGAAAACAUACCUGAAAAUCCUCAAUCUGCGUCGUGCCCUGCCAGAAAAAAAGAAAAGGCAACAUUAAACAUACACAAAGGUCUUAACAGAAAACAUACCUGAAAAUCCUCAAUCUGCGUCGCGCCCUGCUAGAAAAAAAGAAAAGGCGACAUUAGACAUACACAAAGGCCUUACCAGAAAACAUACCUGAAAAUCCUCAAUCUGCGUCUCGCCCUGCUAGAAAAAAGGAAAAGGCGACAUUAGACAUACACAAAGGCCUUAACGGAAAACAUACCUGCGAAUCUCCAAUCUGUGUCGCGCCCUGCCAGAAAAAAAGAAAAGGCAACAUUAGACGUACACCAAGGUCUUAACAGAUAACAUACCUGAAAAUCCUCAAUCUGCGUCGCGCCCUGCCAGAAAAAAAGAAAAGGCAACAUUAGACAUACACAAAGGUCUUAACAGAAAACAUACCUGGAAAAUCCUCAAUCUGCGUCGCGCCCUGCAAAAAAAAAAAGGCCACACGACCUAAAGGAAAAAAAAAAGAACCAUUAGACAUACACAAAGGUCUUAACAGAAAACAUACCUGCGAAUCUCAAUCUGCGUCGCGCCCUGCCAGAAAAAAAGAAAAGGCAACAUUAGACAUACACAAAGGUCUUAACAGAAAACAUACCUGGAAUUCCUCAAUCUGCGUCGCGCCCUGCUAGAAAAAAAGAAAAGACAACAUUAGACAUACACAAAGGUCUUAACAGAAAACAUACCUGAAAUCCUCAAUCUGCGUCGCGCCCUGCUAGAAAAAAAGAAAACACAACAUUAGACAUACACAAAGGUCUUAACAGAAAACAUACCUGCGAAUCUUCAAUCUGCGUCGUGCUCUUCCAGAAAAAAAGAAAAGGCAACAUUAAACAUACACAUAGGCCUUAACAAAAAACAUACCAGCAAAUGUAGCAUAGGCCACACGACCUAAAGGAAAAAAAAAGGAACCAUUAGACAAACACAAAGGCCUUAACAGAAAACAUACCUGAAAAUCUUCAAUCUGCAACGCACCCUGCUAGAAAAAAAGAAAAGGCAACAUUAGACAUACACAAAGGUCUUAACAGAAAACAUACCUGAAAAUCCUCAAUCUGUGUCGCGCCCUGCUAGAAAAAAAGAAAAGACAACAUUAGACAUACACAAAGGUCUUAACAGAAAACAUACCUAAAUCCUCAAUCUGCGUCGCGCCCUGCAAAAAAAAAAAAAAGUCCACACGACCUAAAGGAAAAAAAAAGGAACCAUUAGACAUACACAAAGGUCUUAACAGAAAACAUACCUAAAUCCUCAAUCUGUGUCGCGCCCUGCUAGAAAAAAAGAAAAGACAACAUUAGACAUACACAAAGGUCUUAACAGAAAACAUACCUGGGAAUCCUCAAUCUGCGUCGCGCCCUGCUAGAAAAAAAGAAAAGGCGAAAUUAGACAUACACAAAGGUCUUAACAGAAAACAUACCUGGAAUCCUCAAUCUGCGUCGCGCCCUGCUAGAAAAAAAGAAAAGGCGAACAUUAGACAUACACAAAGGUCUUAACAGAAAACAUACCUGGGAAUCCUCAAUCUGCGUCGCGCCCUGCUAGAAAAAAAGAAAAAGGCGCAACAUUAGACAUACACAAAGGUCUUAACAGAAAACAUACCUGGAAAAUCUCCAAUCUGCGAUGCGCCCUGCCAGAAAAAAAAGAAAAGACAACAUUAGACAUACACAAAGGUCUUAACAGAAAACAUACCUGGGAAUCCUCAAUCUGCGUCACGCCCUGCUAAAAAAAAAAAAAAGGCCACACGACCUAAAGGAAAAAAAAAGAACCAUUAGACAUACACAAAGGUCUUAACAGAAAACAUACCUGAAAUCCUCAAUCUGCGUCGCGCCCUGCUAGAAAAAAAGAAAAGGCAACAUUAGACAUACACAAAGGUCUUAACAGAAAACAUACCUGAAAAUCCUCAAUCUGCGUCACGCCCUGCUAGAAAAAAAGAAAAGGCGAAAUUAGACAUUCACAAAGGUCUUAACAGAAAACAUACCUGAAAAUCCUCAAUCUGCGUCGCGCCCUGCUAGAAAAAAAAGAAAAGACAACAUUAGACAUACACAAAGGUCUUAACAGAAAACAUACCUGGAAUUCCUCAAUCUGCGUCGCGACCUGCUAGAAAAAAAGAAAAGACAACAUUAGACAUACACAAAGGUCUUAACAGAAAACAUACCUGGAAUCCUCAAUCUGCGUCGCGCCCUGCUAGAAAAAAAGAAAA